GCCGCCGUGGACCACGAAGGUCGCUUUCUUCUCAUUUCGAGUCAAAGCUUAGGCUAUCAAGAGGGAGACGGAGGUUCGAAUCCUCCCGGCGGCA